GUUUAUGUCUAUGCCACCUUGAACAAGCCCAAUCCCAUCUGAUCUCAGAAGCUAAGAAGGGUUGGGCCUUGUUAGUACUUUUAUGGGAGACCACCUAGGAAGACCAGUUGCUGUAGGCG
ensembl:rRNA 5S_rRNA 5S ribosomal RNA